GAUAUUUGUAUAUACACUCACCAACUAAUACUCUCGAUUUAAAGAGUAAGACCAAGAGUUUAAAUUCUGACAUUUUACACCUACAAAUUAAUAAGAACUUGAAAAUUAAUCAUAUGAUUCCACAUAUUUUGCUUCUGUUUAUAAAUUGUAUACCAUUUAAUACAUCGCUUGAAUAUGUACCACUCAUUUGUAUAAUACUGAAAUGAAUCUUAUAGGAUUGUGCAUGGAUUUUAUACGCAAAAAAAAAAAAAUGAAUGGCGAAGAAAGAGGGUGAAGUUGAUGAUAUUGUAUUAUCCAAUGAUUGCAAAAAGAUUGGAUUUGUGGGUGUGGGGGGAGACAAGCAUUACAAAAUAAUUGGGACCAUACCUUUAUUUAAUUAUUAACAACUCUUGGUUGGGGCCAAAUAAAAUUGUUUUUUUUUUUU
rnacentral:lncRNA from 1 species